rnacentral:rRNA from 1 species
GUGGGGAAUAUUGGACAAUGGGCGCAAGCCUGAUCCAGCCAUGCCGCGUGUGUGAAGAAGGCCUUUUGGUUGUAAAGCACUUUAAGCGAGGAGGAGGCUCCUUUAGUUAAUACCUAAAGAGAGUGGACGUUACUCGCAGAAUAAGCACCGGCUAACUCUGUGCCAGCAGCCGCGGUAAUACAGAGGGUGCGAGCGUUAAUCGGAUUUACUGGGCGUAAAGCGUGCGUAGGCGGCUUUUUAAGUCGGAUGUGAAAUCCCUGAGCUUAACUUAGGAAUUGCAUUCGAUAGUGGAAAGCUAGAGUAUGGGAGAGGAUGGUAGAAUUCCAGGUGUAGCGGUGAAAUGCGUAGAGAUCUGGAGGAAUACCGAUGGCGAAGGCAGCCAUCUGGCCUAAUACUGACGCUGAGGUACGAAAGCAUGGGGAGCAAACAGGAUUAGAUACCCGGGUAGUCC